rnacentral:rRNA from 1 species
AGGGUUCGAUUCUGGCUCAGGAUGAACGCUAGCUACAGGCUUAACACAUGCAAGUCGAGGGGUAGCAGGGUAGCAAUACCGCUGACGACCGGCGCACGGGUGAGUAACACGUAUCCAACCUUCCCAUAACUCAGGGAUAGCCUUUCGAAAGAAAGAUUAAUACCUGAUAGUACUUUUUCAAGGCAUCUUAGAAAAAGUUAAAGAUUUAUUGGUUAUGGAUGGGAUGCGUUCCAUUAGAUAGUUGGUGAGGUAACGGCUCACCAAGUCUUCGAUGGAUAGGGGUUCUGAGAGGAAGGUCCCCCACAUUGGUACUGAGACACGGACCAAACUCCUACGGGAGGCAGCAGUGAGGAAUAUUGGUCAAUGGGCGAGAGCCUGAACCAGCCAAGUAGCGUGAAGGAAUGAAGGUCCUAUGGAUUGUAAACUUCUUUUAUAGUAGAAUAAAGUGAGCCACGUGUGGUUUUUUGUAUGUAUACUAUGAAUAAGGAUCGGCUAACUCCGUGCCAGCCGCAGC